rnacentral:rRNA from 1 species
GCGACCCCAGGUCAGACGGGACUACCCGCUGAGUUUAAGCAUAUAAAUAAGCGGAGGAGAAGAAACUUACAAGGAUUCCCCUAGUAACGGCGAGCGAACCGGGAA